rnacentral:rRNA from 1 species
GAGAUCGGGAUAACACCUGGAAACAGAUGCUAAUACCGGAUAACAACAGAUGAUGCCUAUCAACUGUUUAAAAGAUGGUUCUGCUAUCACUCUUGGAUGGACCUGCGGUGCAUUAGCUAGUUGGUAGGGUAACGGCCUACCAAGGCGAUGAUGCAUAGCCGAGUUGAGAGACUGAUCGGCCACAUUGGGACUGAGACACGGCCCAAACUCCUACGGGAAGCAGCAGCU